rnacentral:rRNA from 1 species
GAUGAACGCUGGCGGCGUGCCUAAUACAUGCAAGUCGAGCGAACGGACGAGAAGCUUGCUUCUCUGAUGUUAGUGGCGGACGGGUGUGUAACACGUGGAUAACCUACCUAUAAGACUGGGAUAACUUCGGGAAACCGGAGCUAAUACCGGAUAAUAUUUUGAACCGCAUGGUUCAAAAGUGAAAGACGGUCUUGCUGUCACUUAUAGAUGGAUCCGCGCUGCAUUAGCUAGUUGGUAAGGUAACGGCUUACCAAGGCAACGAUGCAUAGCCGACCUGAGAGGGUGAUCGGCCACACUGGAACUGAGACACGGUCCAGACUCCUACGGGAGGCAGCAGUAGGGAAUCUUCCGCAAUGGGCGAAAGCCUGACGGAGCAACGCCGCGUGAGUGAUGAAGGUCUUCGGAUCGUAAAACUCUGUUAUUAGGGAAGAACAUAUGUGUAAGUAACUGUGCACAUCUUGACGGUACCUAAUCAGAAAGCCACGGCUAACUACGUG